GAAGAAUUAGCUGCUCUGAUCAAUUGGUGGAAAUGGCAGCCUCUAUGACGACCACUCUCCCACAAUUCAAUGGGUUAAAACCCCAGUUAUCAGUUGCCCCUGUAAAAUCCCUGGCAGUAGCUCAACCCAUGAGGAGGAAGGGAAAUGGAGCACUGGGUGCCCGCAUGGAUUUCAUUGGUUCUCCCACAAAUUUGAUAAUGGUGACCACAACAAGCCUAAUGCUAUUUGCUGGGAGAUUUGGGUUGGCUCCAUCAGCAAAUAGGAAGGCAACUGCAGGAUUGAAGCUUGAAGCCAGGGAUUCUGGGCUGCAAACUGGUGAUCCAGCUGGUUUCACUCUUGCUGAUACAUUGGCUUGUGGAUCUGUUGGCCAUAUUCUGGGUGCUGGGAUUGUUCUUGGUCUGAAGAACCUUGGAGCUCUGUAAAAAUUUGAAAGAAGG
rnacentral:misc_RNA from 1 species